rnacentral:lncRNA from 1 species
UCCGCUGGCGGAGGCUCUGGCGGUGGCGGCGCGCGAGCGCGAGCGAUCCCGACCCCACAUUCCUGGGAGCGCGGAAUAUCUUGGGAUCUUCUCUGAUCUGCCAGCAGCCAAGGUGUUCACUGGAAAUUCAAGGAAAACAGGUCAGUGUCAGUCUUGGGUCCGUUGUGUGAUGGGACCUCUAUAAGACUGUGUGUUAUAAACUAUCUAAAGCCAGUUUCUCUUGCCCUUUAACUGUGGGUUGGGGAGGGAGGUAGAAUGGGAUGUUGACACUUUCUAGAUGUCUCUCUGUCCUAGCUCUUGACUUUGAAUUGAUAAGCUCCUUAAAUUGGGCUUUGGGGGUCAGGAGAGCCUCCCCCGCUUCCCUCUGUUUCUGAAUGGUGGCCAGCAGUAUUCUUAAUUUCUUUCUUGACCUCCCUGAUUGUAGGGAGGAAGCCUAGGGAGGCAGGAGAGGCCUGUAACUUCCUGCUUCCCGUCUCCUCCCAGCAGGCUUGGGAGCCAGGGUGGAGGACCGCCCCACAGCCAGCCAGGAAAGAAUCUGUGGGAAUCGGGCCAAUCCCACCUGUGUCUGUUCCUCUGUAUUGGCUGCCACAGGAAAGCCCCUGGCCCUCUGGGUGGGCACCCUCUGCCAGAACCCUCAUCUCUGCUCCUGCAGAUUCCCGGGUCUUGCUGGCAGCUUCUUUGUUCCCAGAACCUGUGCUUAAGGCCCCUGUGGGGCUGGUGCUGGGCUGGAGCUACCAGUGUGGAGGAUGCUGAUUCAAAUUCUGGGGUGCUGCUUAUAGAUCUGGGUCUUUUUAUAUUUUAAUUGAUGUGUUUUAUCCUGUGGCUUAUUCCUGCUGGGUAAUUUGUAAAUCUCUUAACUUCCAAGAACCCAGCUGUGUGGUGCUGGGGGUGGUGUGGUAAGAAGGAUGGUGCCGCUGGCUGGUGGUAGCUUUUCUUGCCAAAAGGCUCCCAUCUCUCUGAGUCCCAGCAGAGAUGAUUGGGAGUUCCAGGCAUGGCCUUGGGCCUCUUAUUGGCCUUUUGUGCUUUGCACAUUAUACUCAGGGUGCCAGUAUUCAUAUCUGUCAUUGUCAUCAUUGGCCACAGUUUCAGACUCUUAACAUAUGUCCACAACUAAUUUAAUUAAAUUCGUAUUAAAUCUUAAUUUAAAUCUCACUUAACUUUCAUGAGAGUCCUGUGAGGUAGCUGUCAUUUCGCCCUGUUUCACAGUGGCAGCAGCUAAGGUGGAGACAAAGACUUGCCUAAGGACACAGCUUUAGUGCCAGGGGAGCAGCAGCUCAAGUUCAGGCGGUCUGACUCCUGCCGUACCUGCCCUUCCCACCAGACCUGUGGCCAUUGCCAUCUGGCCUGGGAACCUGCUCCAUGUCCCUCCUUGAGCCUGCUACAGCCAGGAUGUGGGGCUCCCAUUUUAAGUCUUCCCCCCUCCCACCGGGGCCUGGGGAGGGUGUCUGCUUUCAGUCUCGACACCUUGGGAUUUGGGGCACUGCCUACUGGAGGACUGGCCAUGCAGCCAAGCAGGAGGCCACGCCGAGGGAAACCAGUCUGCUAGAAAUCAGGUGGCAGGGAUGGAAGGACUUGAGGACAAGUGGGCGAGGGUUCUCGCACGCAGCAUGCCCUGGCUGCUCAUGGCACGUUCUGCCCUGUCACAGAGAUUCCAUGGGGCCUGCCCUGGGGGGACCUGCCAAGCAGAAGGUGCUGGGGAGCUCCCAGGAGGCUGCACUGCAUGGCCUUGGGGAGACGGAUGGCCUCUGAUAUCACCAGUCCUUUCUAGACAGACGACUGUCCUCCUCCUGUGAAUCUGGAUUGAAGGCAGAGUGAGGAGACUUGACAGACAGGACGCUUGUCCUUGCCCAAGGCUUUGGGCUUCGAAGUCUUGGUUGGACAUUGCUUGUCAUGUGGGUUGGCCUCUGGAAUGAUGACGUGGGUGGAGGUCCUCAUCCCACCUCUACCUGGCUAGGUGACCUUUGGUGAACUGGUUGCUUUUUUUAGGCUGCUCUCCUCUCCUCCAUUUGCCCAGGUGCCUUCUCGUUCUGGUGAAGGUGGUUUCUGGCUGGAUGAGGGCCUGCCUGGGUUUUGGCUUCCAGUCCGGGGCCUCCCAAACCCCCCUUCCGCUCCGCAGUGGUCACUCUGGCUCUGCCUCAGGUAGAUGGAGGAGGAAGGAAUGAAGUUAAUGAGGAAACAAGAGCUCUGAGUCCUGAUGGAAGCCGGCCUGGGGGCGAAGGCUGUUCACAGAGAUGGUCGCCUGACUGGUUGGUGGGGGGCUUGCUGCCCGACUUUCCUUUGAUCUGCCCCCGGCCUCGGCCCCGGCCCAUGCAUUUAGGACUGAGAGGCUCCCUCACUGGACUCCAGCCCAACAAGUUAACAAUUUCAACCUCAGUUAGAGCCCCUGCCUAGUGGAGGGUGGUCCUCCUCUCACACCAGAAGCACAGCCCACACUCAGCCUGAACUGCUGGGCUCCUGAGAACUUGUGGCCAGGAGGAGUGCCUAUGUGGGCUCGGCAGCCACGUGUAGAUGAUUUUUGAUUAUCUGUUGUUUCAUACUAUCUGUGCUUUUGACUUUACCACACCCCUUCCCCCUCUGCCUCCCCCCCGACACACUGCCUGGAAAUUAAUUGCACUUUGAAUACUUGCUUACUUUCCCAGAGUCUCGUGACCAUUUCUACAGCCAAAGUCAGCAUUUAUUAAAACAUCUGGGAGUUCCCGUCGUGGCUUAGUGGAAACGAAUCUGACUAGCAUCCAUGAGGAUGCAGGUUCGAUCCCUGGCCUCACUCAGUGGGUUAAGGAUCUGGCAUUGCCGUGAGCUGUGGUAUAGGUCGCAGACGAGGCUCGGAUCUGGUGUAGACUGGUAGCUAUAACUCCAGUUCGGCCCCUAGCCUGGGAACUUCCAUAUGCCACACCUGUAGCCCUAAAAAAAAAAAAAGAAAAGAAAAAAGGAAGAAAAAGAAAUCUGACCUUGUGAUGGGAAGAGGCAAGGAUGGGGCUGGAGAACUUUCCAGGGGUAUGAAGAGUCAGGCAGCUCAGCAGAUCUCCUGGACCCCCCCCCCACUUGUUGAGGGGGGCUUGGCUAUCACUCCAGGAAGGCCAAAGUUCCGGUAAUUUCCUAUAUAGGAUGUUGGGGUGUUUUUGACCUUGGCCUUGGCAGCUCGGAGCUGCCACUAACCCUCACAGCCACUUCUGUGCAGAUUUGAAAAAUUGCCCUUCUUCAGGUGAUAAAGAAAAUUAGAGUGAACAAAUUGCUGUAAAACUCUGUGUGGACCAGCCUUCUAGAGUCCUGGCGGGCAGCGGCCGAACCUGUGUGUACAUUCCAGCACAUCCUGUGCUCCUUCCACCCCCGGGGAAAGGGUGUCAGGCUCAGUCGGGGAGAGGGCCUGGGGUGGGGGCAGGGAACGGGCCCCUGAAAACAGUGGACAGGUGAGGGGGUGAUGCUCAGGGCAAGGCUGGAACAGGGUGUGGCCGCCCACUAGCGCAUGUGUGUGAGUAUGUGUGUGCUUGUCCUGGCGUGUUUGCUCAUGUGCGUUGUGUGGGACGGAGUUCUCCUGCAUUGUUCUGGGACUCAGAUGAGAGGCCUGCCUGAGCCCUUUCAACGUAUACCGGUGCCGUGAAUGCUUCCUCCUUCAGGGGGUGUAGAACUCAAACACAGUCCCUGGCCGCCUGCCCCUUCCCGUGCGGAGGCAGAGGCUUAGGGGCCCAACGCUCUCCAGCAGGGACAGAGAGAGCAGAUCCUGCCCCAGCAAGUCGUCAGCCCCCACUGGGGCCCAGCCCUGUAGAAGUGCUCAGAGCAGCAGGGCGACGAGCUGGGUUGGAAUGGGGAUAUGUGAACCUGUAGAAUGACGCGUUUUGUUUUAGAGAAAGCGAGGUAGAGGUCUGGGCUUGCAAUUUUCCAUUUGUCUAAUCCUGGGAGAUGCUAAACAGCUUUGUUUAAAAACUGGACACACAGAUUGCAGAGUCCUGAGUAAGGAAGAGCCAUUGGGUCCCCCAGGAAGGCAGUUAGGUUUGAAGCCAGAGUUCAGAUCUGGAUGCAGCAUGGGACACCUGGAGGAUGGGGAGGGAAGCUCUCAGGGCACCCCGAGGCCCCAAGUCGCUCUGAAUUAGCAGCUCCCACUUGCUUGCCACUGACAUGGGCCUGGUGGGGAGGAAGCGCCAGUCCAAGGUCACCACCCACCAUCCAGGCUGUGGGCUGCAGAGAUGGGGGCGGUGUGGAGCUACCUUGCUGCUCUGUCCCUCUCCUGCUGUAGAUGGAGCAGCCGGAGAUGGUGGUGGCCACCUGGCUGUGUCUGUGAACCACUCCUUUGAGAGGCAGGCUGUCCCCACAGUGCAGGGAGAAUAAUACAGGACACCGGCCCGCCAAGGGCAGGGCUGGGUGGAACGUUCUCUGAGGACCUGCAGAGGAGCCCAGGGGAGAUGGAGAUGCAGGGGAGAUGGAGAUGCAGAGGAAAUGGAGAUGCAGAGGAUGCAAGCUGGGGCAUGGGUGUAGCCCAGUGACUGGAAAGAGGAGGAGCAAGCUGCAGGAGGAGGAGCAAGCUGCAGGAGGAGGUGGGGGGGGCUCUUCACUAUGGGGCACCAGCAGUGCCACCCAGAGGAGACUGACCUUAGAGACCAGCAGUGGGGAGCCAGUGUUGGUCCCAAAACAGAGAAAUGACAGCAUAAAGGUGGAUUUUUAGGAAAAAUGAGCUUGUGGCAGAAUCCAAGGUGAAAAAUUAAUACAAACGCCUUUUUACUUUUGGCUGCACCGGGUACAUAUGGAAGUUCCCAGGCCAGGGAUGGAACUCUCACCACAGCAGUGACCCAAGCCGCUGCAGUUACAAUGCUGUAUCCUUAACCUGCUGGGCCACAGGGGAACUCAAAUGCACCCUCCUUAUAACCUUCAAGCAUUAUAGAAGUAGAAAAGGAAAAUCGGAGUUCCCAUUGUGGCUCAGCAGUUAAUGAAUCUGACUAGCAUCCAUGAGGACACAGGUUUGAUCCCUGGCGUGGCUCUGUGGAAUUAAGCAUCCAGUGUUGCCAUGAGCUGUGCUGUAGGUCGCAGAUUCGGCUUGGAUCCUAUGUAGGCCAGCAGCUACAGCUCCGAUUUGACCCCUAGCCUGGGAACCUCCACAUGCUGCGGGUAUGGCCCUAAAAAGCAAAAAAAAAAAAAAAAA